AUGUCGGGGCCUAACCUGGCCAUGACGCCCGUCCUCACCGCCGCCACCGUCUGCUCGUCGCAGGCCUGCAGCGUCUGCAGCAGAGUGCUGUAGUACCUGGACCACAACGCCAAACAGAAAGUCAGCAACAACACCAGCAGAGACAGAAACUCAGAGACCAAAAGAACAGCGACAGAGAGGACAGUUGUCGUCUUCAUGUGUAAAGAGUCUGAGGUCACAAACCUCGGCGAUCAUCCUCUGGAAGAUGUUGCAGCGGCGGAUCGUUUGGAAAACCUUCGCUGAGAUUCCCUGAGAGAUGCAGUGAAGACUCUUCUUCACGAACGUUUUACCCUGAAGAGCAACACACACAAGUGGAGUUUUCCAGACAGGAGAAGAAUCCACAGCCGACAGCGACGGCUCCGUUCAAACAUCUGGCCACAUCAGCUGCAAGCAGACGGGUUUACAGACACACCGGGGUUAUUAGAGGAAACUAAAACUGAAACUAAACAUUAAAAAUAAGCAGAGAAAAUAAUUUUCAGUAAAAUGAAACUAAAUAAAAUCUAAUUUAUGCCCAAAGACUAUAUCCAGUAUGACGAGGAAAAAUACCACAACAUUUGUUCUGAUUGAUCACAACUCUUGAAACUCGGUACGGACAGACUCUGGGCGAGUAUCUAACAGUACAACAUGGACAUCUUUAGAUCACAUGAAAAAUCACACUUUUAUUAAUAGUCAAAGUCUGGAUUUUUGAAAAAAGAGGAAAAACUUGAACAUUGUUUAUUAAAUGUUUAUGUGAAAUAUUUAUUUUACACUACAUAUGUGUUCAUAAGUUUGAUAUUCAACUUGUUCUGAGUUCAUAAAUACCAAAUACGUGA